AAACUCUGGUUUCUCUUCAAAGCGUACAAAUCUUUCGUCUUUUACUAAAGAUUUCCGUGGAGAGAAGCGGUAUUGAGUUUUUACAGAAUUUUUUGAAGCCUUGUUCUUCCGACGCU
ensembl:snRNA U5 U5 spliceosomal RNA